AGGGAGGAGAUGUAGCGGUUAUCACUCCAGAUUCUGAGAAUCCCGGCCUUCUGGCGACCCCGGUUCGAUUCCGGGCACGACCUCUUUU